CAGGCUUAACACAUGCAAGUCGAGGGGCAUCAGGAAGAAAGCUUGCUUUCUUUGCUGGCGACCGGCGCACGGGUGAGUAACACGUAUCCAACCUGCCCUUUACUCGGGGAUAGCCUUUCGAAAGAAAGAUUAAUACCCGAUAGCAUAAUGAUUCCGCAUGGUUUCAUUAUUAAAGGAUUCCGGUAAAGGAUGGGGAUGCGUUCCAUUAGGUUGUUGGUGAGGUAACGGCCCACCAAGCCUUCGAUGGAUAGGGGUUCUGAGAGGAAGGUCCCCCACAUUGGAACUGAGACACGGUCCAAACUCCUACGGGAGGCAGCAGUGAGGAAUAUUGGUCAAUGGGCGCUAGCCUGAACCAGCCAAGUAGCGUGAAGGAUGAAGGCUCUAUGGGUCGUAAACUUCUUUUAUAUAAGAAUAAAGUGCAGUAUGUAUACUGUUUUGUAUGUAUUAUAUGAAUAAGGAUCGGCUAACUCCGUGCCAGCAGCCGCGGUAAUACGGAGGAUCCGAGCGUUAUCCGGAUUUAUUGGGUUUAAAGGGAGCGUAGGUGGACUGGUAAGUCAGUUGUGAAAGUUUGCGGCUCAACCGUAAAAUUGCAGUUGAUACUGUCAGUCUUGAGUACAGUAGAGGUGGGCGGAAUUCGUGGUGUAGCGGUGAAAUGCUUAGAUAUCACGAAGAACUCCGAUUGCGAAGGCAGCUCACUGGACUGCAACUGACACUGAUGCUCGAAAGUGUGGGUAUCAAACAGGAUUAGAUACCCUGGUAGUCCACACAGUAAACGAUGAAUACUCGCUGUUUGCGAUAUACAGUAAGCGGCCAAGCGAAAGCAUUAAGUAUUCCACCUGGGGAGUACGCCGGCAACGGUGAAACUCAAAGGAAUUGACGGGGGCCCGCACAAGCGGAGGAACAUGUGGUUUAAUUCGAUGAUACGCGAGGAACCUUACCCGGGCUUAAAUUGCAGUGGAAUGAUGUGGAAACAUGUCAGUGAGCAAUCACCGCUGUGAAGGUGCUGCAUGGUUGUCGUCAGCUCGUGCCGUGAGGUGUCGGCUUAAGUGCCAUAACGAGCGCAACCCUUAUCUUUAGUUACUAACAGGUUAUGCUGAGGACUCUAGAGAGACUGCCGUCGUAAGAUGUGAGGAAGGUGGGGAUGACGUCAAAUCAGCACGGCCCUUACGUCCGGGGCUACACACGUGUUACAAUGGGGGGGUACAGAAGGCAGCUAGCGGGUGACCGUAUGCUAAUCCCAAAAUCCUCUCUCAGUUCGGAUCGAAGUCUGCAACCCGACUUCGUGAAGCUGGAUUCGCUAGUAAUCGCGCAUCAGCCACGGCGCGGUGAAUACGUUCCCGGGCCUUGUACACACCGCCCGUCAAGCCAUGGGAGCCGGGGGUACCUGAAGUACGUAACCGCAAGGAUCGUCCUAGGGUAAAACUGGUGACUGGGGCUAAGUC
rnacentral:rRNA from 1 species